UUCAUCCAGAGCAGCAGAGGGACUGGCCCGAUGACACUGCGGCAACCUUCCGUGAGGAAAGGUGCCAAUUCCAGCAGAUAUAUUAUCUGGCAGAUGAA
rnacentral:ncRNA from 1 species